rnacentral:rRNA from 1 species
UGCAUGUCUCAGUACAAGCCAAAUUAAGGUGAAACCGCGAAAGGCUCAUUAAAUCAGUUAUGGUUCCUUAGAUCGUACCCACAAUUACUUGGAUAACUGUGGUAAUUCUAGAGCUAAUACAUGCAAACAGAGCUCCGACCGGAGACGGAAGGAGUGCUUUUAUUAGAUCAAAACCAAUCGGUGGCGGGUUCGCUCGUCAUCGUACAACUUGGUGACUCUGAAUAACUUUACGCUGAUCGCACGGUCUCGCACCGGCGACGCAUCUUUCAAAUGUCUGCCUUAUCAACUGUCGAUGGUAGGUUCUGCGCCUACCAUGGUUGUAACGGGUAACGGGGAAUCAGGGUUCGAUUCCGGAGAGGGAGCCUGAGAAACGGCUACCACAUCCAAGGAAGGCAGCAGGCGCGCAAAUUACCCACUCCCGGCACGGGGAGGUAGUGACGAAAAAUAACGAUACGGGACUCAUCCGAGGCCCCGUAAUCGGAAUGAGUACACUCUAAACCCUUUAACGAGGAUCAAUUGGAGGGCAAGUCUGGUGCCAGCAGCCGCGGUAAUUCCAGCUCCAAUAGCGUAUAUUAAAGUUGUUGCGGUUAAAAAGCUCGUAGUCGAAUUUGUGUCUCGUGCCGCUGGUUCAUCGUCCGCGGUGUCAACUGGCGAGUCGCGAGACGUCCUGCCGGUGGGCUUAGCUCUUCACGGGGCGGCCCAACACAAUCCUGCCGCGGUGCUCUUUAUUGAGUGUCGAGGUAGGCCGGCACGUUUACUUUGAACAAAUUAGAGUGCUUAAAGCAGGCUAAAAUUUCGCCUGAAUACUGUGUGCAUGGAAUAAUGGAAUAGGACCUCGGUUCUAUUUUGUUGGUUUUCGGAACCCCGAGGUAAUGAUUAAUAGGAACGGAUGGGGGCAUUCGUAUUGCGACGUUAGAGGUGAAAUUCUUGGAUCGUCGCAAGACGGACAGAAGCGAAAGCAUNNNNNNNNNNNNNNNNNNNNNNNNNNNNACGAAAGUUAGAGGUUCGAAGGCGAUCAGAUACCGCCCUAGUUCUAACCAUAAACGAUGCCAGCUAGCGAUCCGUCGACGUUCCUCCGAUGACUCGACGGGCAGCUUCCUAGAUCGGGAAACCAAAGCUUUUGGGUUCCGGGGGAAGUAUGGUUGCAAAGCUGAAACUUAAAGGAAUUGACGGAAGGGCACCACCAGGAGUGGAGCCUGCGGCUUAAUUUGACUCAACACGGGAAACCUCACCAGGCCCGGACACCGGAAGGAUUGACAGAUUGAGAGCUCUUUCUUGAUUCGGUGGGUGGUGGUGCAUGGCCGUUCUUAGUUGGUGGAGCGAUUUGUCUGGUUAAUUCCGAUAACGAACGAGACUCUAGCCUGCUAACUAGGCGCUAAAUUAUUUGACAUCCUAAAGGCCCGCCGCACGCGCGGCGUAUUCUCGUCGUCGCGCCACGUGGGUUUCGGCUCGCGUCGGUGUGUGCGUUCGGGUUGCGUCGUACGCGUUGUCGUGCGCGGUUUUUACUGUCGGCGUACAAACCUAUCUUCUUAGAGGGACAGGCGGCUUCUAGCCGCACGAGAUUGAGCAAUAACAGGUCUGUGAUGCCCUUAGAUGUUCUGGGCCGCACGCGCGCUACACUGAAGGAAUCAGCGUGUCCUCCCUGGCCGAGUGGCCCGGGUAACCCGCUGAACCUCCUUCGUGCUAGGGAUUGGGGCUUGCAAUUGUUCCCCAUGAACGAGGAAUUCCCAGUAAGCGCGAGUCAUAAGCUCGCGUUGAUUACGUCCCUGCCCUUUGUACACACCGCCCGUCGCUACUACCGAUUGAAUGAUUUAGUGAGGUCUUCGGAUCGAUGCGCGAUGGCGUUUCGGCGUCGUCGAUGUGUCCGAGAAGAUGACCAAAC